rnacentral:rRNA from 1 species
GACGAACGCUGGCGGCAGGCCUAAUACAUGCAAGUCGAGCGGAGCGGCGUACGGGCGAGUAAUGCCUAGGAAUGUGCCUGGUAGUGGGGGAUAACGUCAGGAAACGGGCGCUAAUACCGCAUACUAUUAGAUUAGCCUAGGUCGGAUUAGCUAGUUGGUGGGGUAAAGGCCUACCAAGGGGACGAUCCGUAACUGGUCUGAGAGGAUGAUCAGUCACACUGGAACUGAGACACGGUCCAGACUCCUACGGGAGGCAGCAGUGGGGAAUAUUGGACAAUGGGCGAAAGCCUGAUCCAGCCAUGCCGCGUGUGUGAAGAAGGUCUUCGGAUUGUAAAGCACUUUAAGUUGGGAGGCGUUACCAACAGAAUAAGCACCGGCUAACUUCGUGCCAGCAGCCGCGGUAAUAC